AUGCCAUGUGACUGUCUGUCAACACAGCCAGAUAUGAGCUGGGCUAAGGCCUCCUCCCAGGCUGGGCAGGGGCUCUGUUGGGCUCCUCCUGACCUGGUGGGCAUGGUAGGGGCUGUGUCUCCCUCUGGCCUGCAGACCACGGCUUACUGGUGCCACCCCUGGGAACCCGAGGCCAGGUGGCAGCUCUCUGGCAAGCUCAUAAGCACAGUGUCUCGGAGGUGGAGCCCCCCGCAACCCCAGCCAGCCCCCUCUCCUGCCCCAGGAGGAGUCUUGGGGAGAGCUCCAGGUCCAAGCCCUGCCCGCCUCCCCGUGCCCUUCCUGUUCCUUCAACCUCCAGACAAGGGAGCAGUGGCCGUUCCUCCUUUCCUCCCACCCACGGGUUACCGAGCGAAGAUGACACUGAAAGCCAUCAAGCCAGUUGCUGCCAUGGAAGACGGAGUCUGUGAGCCAGAGAGAGACAGAAACACACAGAGAGAGGCAGAGACACAGAGAGAGUCAGAGACAGACACAGGCGAAGACACAGAGGUAGAGAGAUGGGGUGGGGGUGGAGAGGGGAUGCCCGCCUCACCCCUUCAGCAGCGGCUCAGCCAGGACACCCUCCAGACCAUGCCCAGGCCCCUUUGGUGUUACCAGUGGACAGCACAGCUAGGCCACAGCCAUGAACCAGAUGGGACCCGCCUGACCUGUGUUCCCCUCCCAAAGCCUCUCCCUUUUCACUUCUGGUGCCUAGGGGGGUGUCGAGACCAGCUGUGCGGGGCAGCCCCUCCCAGGCAGGCCUUCCUGGAGGGCCAGGUGCCCAGCCCCAUAGGCAGGUUCCUGCACAGCCUGGCCUGGCCUUCCCUGGGAGCCUCAGGCCUGGGCCGAGUAAGCCAGGAGUCACUGGGCCUGUGGGCUGGCUCAGCAAGACCACAGCUCAGCACACACCACACCCAUCAGCCCCUUUCUGUCCUGCCUCCAGGCCCAGAGGCAGCCAGGGCCUCCCUGAUGACAGAGCCCCCAGCUGGGGCUUGCAAGGGGAGCUGCCGGCUCUUCAGUGAGCCUUGGGGAGACCGCCUGGGGCCAGGGUGCUGCCUGGCUGCCCUCUCUGCCCCCAACCUGGCCUCUGGCGGUAGCACUUGUGAAAAUGCUGGACACUCCUCCUAG
rnacentral:lncRNA from 1 species